rnacentral:rRNA from 1 species
AGGAUGAACGCUGGCGGCGUGCUUAACACAUGCAAGUCAAGGGGGCCCAGCAAUGGGCAACCGGCGAACGGGUGCGUAACACGUGAGCAACCUACCGAAAUGUGGGGGAUAGCCGGCCCAACGGCCGGGUAAUACCGCAUACGCUCGAGACCAGGCAUUUGGACUCGAGGAAUUUACGGAGCAUUUCGAGGGGCUCGCGGCCUAUCAGCUAGUUGGUGAGGUAACGGCUACACCGAAGGCUACGGACGGGUAGACUGGUCUGAGAGGAUGGCCAGCCACAUUUGGGACUAGGAGACGUACGGACCCAGACGUUCCGUACGGGAGGCAGCGAGUGGGGAAUUCGUUGACG